GGGCCAUAGCUCAGUGGUAGAGUAUCUGCACUGCAUGCAGAAGGUCUCAGGCUCAAUUCAUGACAUCUCCA